GUGAGGAAUAUUGGACAAUGGGCGCAAGCCUGAUCCAGCCAUGCCGCGUGCAGGAAGACGCAUCUAUGGUGUGUAAACUGCUUUUGUACGGGAAGAAACACUCCCUCGUGAGGGAGCUUGACGGUACCGUAAGAAUAAGGAUCGGCUAACUCCGUGCCAGCAGCCGCGGUAAUACGGAGGAUCCAAGCGUUAUCCGGAAUCAUUGGGUUUAAAGGGUCCGUAGGCGGUUUAAUAAGUCAGUGGUGAAAGCCCAUCGCUCAAAGAUGGAACCGCCAUUGAUACUGUUAGACUUGAAUUACAAGGAAGUAACUAGAAUAUGUAGUGUAGCGGUGAAAUGCUUAGAUAUUACAUGGAAUACCAAUUGCGAAGGCAGGUUACUACUUGUGGAUUGACGCUGAUGGACGAAAGCGUGGGGAGCGAACAGGAUUAGAUACCCUAGUAGUCC
rnacentral:rRNA from 1 species